GUUUCAUCACUUGCCUUUGUCCUUGCAUCACUUUUGGACAGAUUGCUGAAAUUGUGAAUAGGGGAUCUACAACUUGUUUUAUGAGUGGAGCAGUAUAUGCGCUAUUGUUGGGUUUUGCAUGCUUGUACUCCUGUUGCUAUCGCUCAAAAUUGAGGGGCCAAUAUGACUUGGAGGAGGCCCCUUGUAUGGAUUGCCUGGCGCACUUCUGCUGUGAGACUUGCGCGUUGAGUCAAGAAUAUAGAGAGCUCAAGAAUCGUGGAUUUGAUAUGGGGAUAGGCUGGGAAGCCAAUAUGGUUAGAUUUCAACAGCGUGGAAUCACAAUGGCUCCAAUUGCGACCCCAGGCAUGACAAGAUGACAGAGACCCUUCAGUUCAGUUCUGUUUUUUUUUUUUUCCUCCCACGGCAACAACUGAUGCCAAUGCUGCUGCCUAUCCUCUUCUGCUAUCGCGCUUGUUCUUGCAACAUUUAUGUCUUGUAUAUCGGUUUGCUUAUUUGGGCUCUAGAGUGUUUACUUGCAUAUAUCAAUUUUCACAUUGGCUACAAGAAUUGUGAAAGUUUUGAGUCAUUAUAAUAUCCAGGAAAGGAAAAUCUCCCAUGAUAAAACUGGUGAUUGGUCUUCAGCGAGUACAUAGAA